AGAGUUUGAUCCUGGCUCAGGAUAAACGCUAGCUACAGGCUUGACACAUGCAAGUCGAGGGGAAACGAUAUUGGAAGCUUGCUUCCGAUAGGCGUCGACCGGCGCACGGGUGAGUAACGCGUAUCCAACCUGCCCACCACUUGGGGAUAACCUUGCGAAAGUAAGACUAAUACCCAAUGAUAUCUCUAGAAGACAUCUGAAAGAGAUUAAAGAUUUAUCGGUGAUGGAUGGGGAUGCGUCUGAUUAGCUUGUUGGCGGGGUAACGGCCCACCAAGGCGACGAUCAGUAGGGGUUCUGAGAGGAAGGUCCCCCACAUUGGAACUGAGACACGGUCCAAACUCCUACGGGAGGCAGCAGUGAGGAAUAUUGGUCAAUGGGCGAGAGCCUGAACCAGCCAAGUAGCGUGCAGGAUGACGGCCCUAUGGGUUGUAAACUGCUUUUAUAAGGGAAUAAAGUGAGCCUCGUGAGGCUUUUUGCAUGUACCUUAUGAAUAAGGACCGGCUAAUUCCGUGCCAGCAGCCGCGGUAAUACGGAAGGUCCGGGCGUUAUCCGGAUUUAUUGGGUUUAAAGGGAGCGUAGGCCGGAGAUUAAGCGUGUUGUGAAAUGUAGAUGCUCAACGUCUGCACUGCAGCGCGAACUGGUUUCCUUGAGUACGCACAAAGUGGGCGGAAUUCGUGGUGUAGCGUUGAAAUGCUUAGAUAUCACGAAGAACUCCGAUUGCGAAGGCAGCUCACUGGAGCGCAACUGACGCUGAAGCUCGAAAGUGCGGGUAUCGAACAGGAUUAGAUACCCUGGUAGUCCGCACGGUAAACGAUGGAUGCCCGCUGUUGGUCUGAAUAGGUCAGCGGCCAAGCGAAAGCAUUAAGCAUCCCACCUGGGGAGUACGCCGGCAACGGUGAAACUCAAAGGAAUUGACGG
rnacentral:rRNA from 1 species